GUGUUCACUUUGGCAGCACAUGCACAAAAAUUGGAACAAUACAGAGAAGAUUCAUAAGGUGUCUGCGCAAGGAUGACAUACAAAUUUGUGAGGUGUUCCACAUAAAA
rfam:Macaca fascicularis chromosome 2, whole genome shotgun sequence.